ACUAGAGUAGCACUCGCAUAUCAAUAAGCGGAGGAAAAGAAACUAACAAGGAUUCCCCUAGUGACGGCGAGUGAAGCGGGAAGAGCUCAAAUUUGAAAUCUUAAAGGGUUUCCCUUUACGAAUUGUAGUUUAAAGAAGUGUUUUCUGUUGAGGUUUUGGUAAAAGUUCUUUGGAAUAGGACAUCAUAGAGGGUGAGAAUCCCGUAUUUGACCUUUACUUUCAACUUUGUGAUACACUUUCAAAGAGUCGGAUUGUUUGGGAAUGCAGUCCAAAAUGGGUGGUAAAUUUCAUCUAAAGCUAAAUAUUGGCGAGAGACCGAUAGCGAACAAGUACCGUGAGGGAAAGAUGAAAAGAACUUUCGAAAAGAGAGUUAAACAGUACGUGAAAUUGUCAAAAGGGAAGCGUUUGACACCAGUGUUGUUUUUCUGAAAAUCAAUUAAAGAACUGUUUAUGCUAAGCUUGUUUAGACUUUAUCAGCUAUCUGUUUAGUUUUGAGCUUUUCUUUAAUGCACUUUUCAGUUAACAAGUCAACAUCAAUUUCUUUUGCUGUAAAAAAGCUUGAGGAAGGUGGCUUGAGAUUCGUCUUAAGUGUUUAUAGCCUCUUGCCUAUGCAGUCGGAGAGAUUGAGGUCUGCAGCGUAGAUCCUUCGGGGCUAAAUGCAUUUGUGCUAAGUUAUAGCAUUUAUAGACAACUUGUUGACUAUGAUUUGUCUUGUAGCUUACUCGCUUAUGUUAUUUUACCUACGCUUAGGAUGUUGAGUCAUCACACAUCUCU
rnacentral:rRNA from 1 species